CAUGAAUGUUCUUCAUUGUUCUUGACAUUUUUGCCAAGAACAAAAAGGUUUGUGUUUUGAUUCAAAGUUUUGGUUAAUUUCAUAAAGUCUUUGUUUUGUGUUGGUUGAUGUGAAUUUUCUAUCACCAAAACAUUUAUUUUGAAAGGUGAUAGAAAUUGUGAUGGGUGUGUAAGACUUACACACCUUACACACCACAUGCAUGGUUUUAUGAUUCACAACAACCAAAAACCACUUGCAAGGCUUUAUGAAAUUGUUGAAAAAAAUUUCCAAAUUUUUGUGGACUUAUCUCCACUCCCUUUCCCUCUCUAAAAACCGGCCCUCCCUCAAUGGGA
rnacentral:lncRNA from 1 species